rnacentral:misc_RNA from 1 species
CAGAGUUGCAAGACUCCCUAAACCAUUGUGAACCUACCUUCUACCGUUGCUUCGGCGGGCGGGUCCAGCGCCCCCCCGGCCCCCCGCGGGCGCCCGCCGGAGGAUACCCAAACUCUUGACAUUAGUGGCCUCUCUGAGUAUUCUUUACUGAAUAAGUCA